AGUGAACUAAUGGAGGAACAGAAAACCAAAUACCACAUAUUUCACUUAUAUGUCUUAGCUAAACAUUGAGCACAUGUGGAAGUAAACACUGGAUGCUUGGAGUUUUUAGCUGAUGUUUAUGAAGAAUAGUGAGUACUAGAACUGUGCAGCUAAUGAAAGGAAAUGCUGUCUAAGAAGAUUACCCUUCAUAAAGGUGAGCAGACCUCAUUCAAUCAUGUGAAAGCCUUAAGAGAAAAAGGUUGAGGCCCACUGAGGAAGCAGCAACUCUGCUUCCAGACUGCUUGCAGACUCAAGACUACAACGUAAACUCUGGAAUUUUCAGCCAGCCAGCUUGCUCUGCAGAUUUCAAACUUGCCAGCCUCCACAAUUGUGUAAGCCAGUUCCUUAAAAUGUAUCUUUUAAAUUAAUUUCUUACAUGAAUCUCUCUUUCCUUUCUCUCUUGCUAUAUAUGUAUACAUAGACAUAUAUAUUUAAUACAGAUAGAAAUAUAUACAUAUCUAUGUAUAUCUACAUAAAUAUAUAUCUUUGUUGAUAUGUAGACAUUGAUCAAUAUACAUAGAUACAUAGAUGCAUGUCUUUAUAGAUGUAUAGAUAUCUAUAUGAACAUAGAUAUGCAUAUAGAACAUGUAUGAACAUAAAUAUAGCUAUCUGUUCCUAUAUAUCUAUACCCAUAGAUAUAUAGAUAUUGAUAUUUAUAUAUAUAGAGAGAGAGAUUUAUAUAUAUGUAGUUAUUUACAUAUCUAUCUGUUUAUCUGGAGAACCUUGGCUAAUACUGUAGAUAUUAUUAUCUCUACAUUUUUGAUGGAGAAACUGAAAUUAUGUAACCUUUCCAGGGUUACACAGCUGGGAAAUAGCAGUUCUCUAAAUAUUAAUAACUCUAAAAUCUGUGUUUUUGCCACUCACUGCCAUUCCUCUUAAAGUGAGGCUGAACGGAACCAUUUUCCCUGCUUCUCUCUACCCCUAAAUUCUCUUUAGAUGACCAUAUAUAAAAUAAAUACAUUCCUGAACACUGACUAUAAAGUCAAAUUCUUGGGCACAAACACUUUUUUUAUUUACUUGAAUUUAAAAAUUACAUCCUGGUCUUACUGAAUGCUGCAGUUUCUGUGGCAGCAGGAAGUCUAAACUUUGAAAUAGAAUUUUAAGGCAAAUACUACAAACAAGUAACUUAGAUAAACAAAUCAGAGAAGGUACAGAUUUUACCUCAACUGUUUAUCUUGUAUAAUUUUAAUCUAACUCUUUAUUCACAAAGCAUUUUGAUACUUAUAUUGGUUUUAUCAGCUCCAUCAAUAAAAAUAAGUCAAAUGAAGAAUUGGACUGACAGUUUCUGGACUGGCUUGAAGAGGUGAAGUCAGUUAAAAUAAUCAAACAGGUUUGUUUAUGUUGAUGAUACUUGAACGAAAUAGUGGAUAGUUUUAUUUCCUUUCAGUUUUUUUACUAUAUAUAUUGGAAAUAUAUACAGAUCACAUUUCUCUAUUUCACAUCUCUCUAAGUGUUAGUAAAGUGUUAAGCAGAAGAUUUGGGGAAGCAUGUGUUUAUUAAAUUUAUAAUAACUAGCUUGGAGUGGAGGUGGGAAAAACACAAAUUAACAUCUGGUUUAAUGACUGACUCCUCAGCAAAUGGGACAACAGUCUACAUGGUUAAUGGCCAAUGGACAUUUCAACUCAAUUCUACUUUUUUUUUGUUGUUUCCUACAAUGUAUCUGCCACGAUGCUAUGCUUUGGGAAUGUAUAAUUAAGGCAGAAGACAUUCUGGGUCAUCAAAAAACUCAGUCUUAAAAUCAAAUUCUCUACAUUUUGUAAUGUUUAAGUUGUAAAGUGCUACUGUCAAUAGUAAUUAUAAUUAUUCACUGAUUUGACCCAUAUUUUUAAUUGUAUACUAUGUAGCAGGCACUUUGUUAGAGAAUGAGAAUACUAUUAUGAACAACACAUUAUGCCUACUUUUAGAAACUGAUUGCUGUGGUUUGGAUAUGGUUUGUUUGUUCCUACCAAAACUGAUCUUGAAAUUUGGCCUCCAAUGUGGCAGUGUUGAGAAAUGGUGACUAGUGAGAGGUGUUUGGAUCAUGAGGGAUGACCCAUCAUGAAGGGCUUAGUGCCAUUCUGACAGUAGUCAAUGAGUUUUCUCUCUGGUGAGAUUGAAUUAUUUCUUAUGGUAAUGGAUUAGUUUAGUUCUCAUGGAAAUGAGUUCAUUACCUCAAAAGUGGGCUGUUAAUAAAGCCAUAAUGCCCUUUGGGUUUUGCCUCUUUGUACGUGUCUAUUUCCCCUUUGACCUUCUCUGCCACGUUAUGACCACGUAGUAUGAAAUCCCUCAUCAGAAGCCAGAGCUAUGCCCUUGAACUUCCCAUCAUGCGGAACUGUGAAGUAAAUAAACCUCUUUUCAUUAUAUAUUACUCAGCCUCAGGUAUUCUGUUACAGCAACACUAAAUUGACUAAGGCAUAAAAUUGGUACCAAGGAGUGGAUUGUUACUAUAAAGAUACCUGCAAAUGGGGAAGUGGCUUUGAACUGGGUAAAGGGCAGAAGUUGGAAGAGUUUGAAAGAGCAGGCUAGAAGGAGAUGGUAUUGCAGCAAUGGGAGCAUUAGGGUGCUUUUGGUAAGUACUCAAAAGAAGACUAAAAAAAUGAGGGAAAGUUUGCAACUUUUUAGAGAUUGGGUAAGUGGUAGUGACUAAAAUUAGACAGUAAAGGAUAUUCUGAUGAGAUUUCAGAUGAAAAUGAGUAUUUAUUUGAAAAGUAGAACAAAGGUCACUCUUGUUAUAAAGUUGCAAAGAAUUUGGCUGCAUUAUGUCUAUGCUCUACAGCUUUGUGGAAGGCCAAACCUAAGAAUAAUGACCUAGCAUGUCUGAUGGAAGAAAUUUCUAAGCAGCAAAGUGCUCAAGAAUUAGUGUGGUUACUUUUAAUAGCUUAUGAUUAGUUAAGGCAUCAAAGGAAUGACCUAAGAGCCAGAAUUUAUAAUUAAAAAUGAAGCAGAUCAUAAAAAUUUGGAAAUUUCAUAGCCUGGCCUUGUGGUAGAGAAUAAAAGGGAAUUUUAAGGAGAGGAAUCAAGACUGGCUGAGCAACGGAUUGCUAAAGAAGUUAGCAGGGCUAAAAGGGAGACAGGUGCAAAUAGUCAAAACAAUUAGAAGGCUACACCGGCAUUUGAAGAUCUUCAUGGCUGUCCUUUCCAACACAAGCCCAGAGGCCUGGAAGGGCAGAAUGGUUUUCUAGGAUGAACCUGGGGCACUACUGCCUUACAUCAACUCAGGAUGCUGCUCCCCAAAUCUCAACCCAUCUGGGUAGAUCAGUCAUCACUUUAACAGCCUCAGGUAUGGCUCAGACCACUGCUCCAGAGGGCCAAAGUAGUAAGUCUUGAUGGUUUCCAUAUGGUACUAAGUCUACAAGUGCCUAGAAUACAAGAGUCAUGGAGGCUAGGUGGCUUCCACCUAGAUUUCAGAGGAUAUAUCUGAAAGCCUGGGAGCCCAUCCAGAAACUUGCUACAGGGUGGAGCCACCGCAGGAAAUCACUACUAGGGCACUACCUAGUGGAGCCAUAGGGGCAGAGCCACCACUGGGCCCCCAGAAUAGUAGAGCCACAGGCAGUGUGCAAUACCAGCUAGGAAAAGUCACAGGCAUUCAACUCCAACUUGUGAGAGCAGCCACGUGGGCUACAUCCUGGAAACCUAUGUGGGCAGGUCUUCCGAGGGUCUUGGGAGCCCACCCCUCACACCAGUGUGCCCAAGAUGUAGGACAUCGAUGUCAAAGGAGAUUGUUCUGGAGCUUUAAGAUGUAAUAUAAUCCCAGCAGUUAGAAAGGCCAAGGCAAUAGGGUCACAUGCGCCCAGGAGUUCAAGACCUUCCUGGGCAACAUAGGGAGACCCUGUCUCUGUGAAAAGUAAAACAAAUUAGCC